rnacentral:rRNA from 1 species
ACGUAGGGUGCAAGCGUUAAUCGGAAUUACUGGGCGUAAAGCGUGCGCAGGCGGUUUUGUAAGACGGAUGUGAAAUCCCCGGGCUCAACCUGGGAACUGCAUUCGUGACUGCAAGGCUAGAGUAUGGCAGAGGGGGGUAGAAUUCCACGUGUAGCAGUGAAAUGCGUAGAGAUGUGGAGGAAUACCGAUGGCGAAGGCAGCCCCCUGGGCCAAUACUGACGCUCAUGCACGAAAGCGUGGGGAGCAAACAG